rnacentral:ncRNA from 1 species
GGCUAUCUGCAAGCCUAAAAGUGCAGGCGGGAGGUCAUGGCGACGACCUAAAAAGCCUA